rnacentral:rRNA from 1 species
UACGUAGGGUGCAAGCGUUAUCCGGAAUUAUUGGGCGUAAAGAGCUCGUAGGCGGUUUGUCGCGUCUGCUGUGAAAACUGGAGGCUCAACCUCCAGCUUGCAGUGGGUACGGGCAAACUAGAGUGCGGUAGGGGAGAUUGGAAUUCCUGGUGUAGCGGUGGAAUGCGCAGAUAUCAGGAGGAACACCGAUGGCGAAGGCAGAUCUCUGGGCCGUAACUGACGCUGAGGAGCGAAAGCGUGGGGAGCAAACAGG